CCUACGGGAGGCAGCAGCGAGGAAUCUUGGUCAAUGGGCAGAAGCCUGCACCAGCCAAGUCGCGUGAGGGAUUAAGGCCCUGCGGGUCGUAAACCUCUUUUGCCGGGGAGCAGUGGUCCGGACGCGUCCGGACCGGGAGAGUACCCGGAGAACAAGCAUCGGCUAACUCCGUGCCAGCAGCCGCGGUAAUACGGAGGAUGCGCGCGUUAUACGGAUUUAUUGGGUUUAAGGGGUGCGUAGGCGGGCAUUUAAGCCGGGGGUCAAAUGUCGGGGCUCAACCACGGCCUGCCGUCGGCACUGUGUGCCUUGAGUGGGCGAGAAGUAUGCGGAAUGCGCAGUGUAGCGGUGAAAUGCUUAGAUAGUGCGCAGAACUCCGAUUGCGAAGGCAGCAUACCGGCGGCGAUCUGACGCGGAGGCACGAAAGCGUGGGUAUCGAACAGGAUUAGAUACCCCGGUAGUC
rnacentral:rRNA from 1 species